UUUGAAAAAUCGAGGGCAUGUCGCGCAGCUCACCACUAUGGGUGGAGCGCGUGCCUCUGCUUCAACUUCUGUAUCUCCGUUCGGAUGCAGAAACACGCAAAUUUACGGUUUAUAUUCUCUCUCCCUAGCUCUGGCAUAUCCUUUUCUUCUCGAUCUCUCGCUCUAUUUAUUCCGCCGAUAUUUCGUAUCUUCUGCUCUCCCCUAAUUUCAGGAGCGAAGACGACGAUGCCUGAAGCACUGGAAAGUGUUAUACCAUGACCGCCUCUCACCUCCGUUGUAGAAAUCUCCUCAAAUUGUUCUAUGCUUCUAGGGCCGCCGUUUUGCCAGAAGGGAGCGAUUACGCUUUACGGAUUUCACCACUUGAAGAAUCUCCUAGGCUUUCACCACUUGGAGACACUCCUAGGGCUUUCAAGUACAUCGACGACACCAUUGAAAGGUAUUGUGCAUGGGACUUAUGUGUCUUCAAGUUUCAACUGGUGAAAUAAUACCUGACAAAUUGAAGUUGAUGUUAGGUGCUAGGUUUGCAUCGACUGAAUUGUAAUGCGAGAUUUUCUACACAUUGGCUGACCAAACUCUUUUCGGGGAACAACUGCCCUCUCCGUGAGAUCCGGUUGUGCGCUAUGGUGCAGACAUUUGAGGGUUCAUGCAAUGGCAAAAUUAAGUUCAAAUCCCUCUUCAAGCCAGUUGGGGUUAUUAGAUUCAUGGGAUCUAUAGAUGAGAGAUGUUGAAGCUGCUUCAGAGCUUAUUAUUGUUCGUCAUGUUGAGUUAUUUUGUUGUUUUGCAUGGUUUUCUUUAGAACCCUAUUGGUGAAUGGUGAUAGACACCGUAUAUCUGAAUAUGAGAUAUUUGUACCUUCGGCCUCAUGUUUAAUUAAAUAGGGCAUACUAGAUGGGCCUAUUAACUUGAUAGGCCUGAUAACUUGAUGGGUCGUAGCCCAGAUGAUGCUAACCUCCCCUUGUUUGGUAUGUAGGCUUCUAAUCGUUGAGUUUUGCAGAUAUACAUGAAC